UACGUAGGGGGCAAGCGUUAUCCGGAUUUACUGGGUGUAGAGGGAGCGUAGACGGCACUGCAAGUCUGGAGUGAAAGCCCGAGGCCCAACCACGGGACUGCUCUGGAAACUGCGGGGCUGGAGUGCAGGAGGGGUAAGCGGAAUUCCUAGUGUAGCGGUGAAAUGCGUAGAUAUUAGGAGGAACACCGGUGGCGAAGGCGGCUUACUAGACUGUAACUGACGUUGAGGCUCGAAGGCGUGGGGAGCAAACAGG
rnacentral:rRNA from 1 species